UGAAACACCCUUUAGUCGUGUAUUUUUGCCUGUGCAUUACUAUAUAUGGUCAUGUCUCAGUAACAGUGGCACAUUGUUCCUAAUAUUAUAAAGGGGGGAGAUCUGAGACAAUAGCUUUAGAAACUCACAUAACACCUGAGUAGACAGGUCAGCUGCCCAAGGGCAAAGGCUAAUACAUUUGCUCUUGGUUUCCUUAGGCACCAGGGAAGAUGUCAAGACGCCGAGAUAGUACAUAUUUCAGCCGAGGGAUUUCUCGCAGGAAUUCAAAUGCUAUUAAUAAAAAAAACAAAAGAUGCAAACCAGGAUCGGAAAUGCCAAUAAAAAGAAGGAGAGGGUAUGUACGCAUCUGUUCUACAUACUUCUACUGGAAAGGAAGAAGAUAAUCCCACUUCAGAAAUUCCAUCUUUGAUCACAGUGAAUGAGCUACAAGUGUCUUCCAUGACAGAUAGUCAUCAAUGAACCCAAAGGGAGCCUGCAAGAUUCAGAAACCCUCCUGUUACAGGAGAGAGCUAGGCCUGUUUGACAGUAAACCUCAAUAAAAGGUGUGCGCACAUGUGUAUUUGUUGUAA